UGAGUGAGAAGGGUUUCGGCUCGUAAAGCUCUGUUGUUAAAGAAGAACACGUAUGAGAGUAACUGUUCAUACGUUGACGGUAUUUAACCAGAAAGUCACGGCUAACUACGUGCCAGCAGCCGCGGUAAUACGUAGGUGGCAAGCGUUAUCCGGAUUUAUUGGGCGUAAAGAGAGUGCAGGCGGUUUUCUAAGUCUGAUGUGAAAGCCUUCGGCUUAACCGGAGAAGUGCAUCGGAAACUGGAUAACUUGAGUGCAGAAGAGGGUAGUGGAACUCCAUGUGUAGCGGUG
rnacentral:rRNA from 1 species